GGGAUCGAAGAUGAUUAGAUACCAUCGUAGUCUUAACCAUAAACUAUGCCGACUAGGGAUUAGCGGAGUUUUUAAAUGUCUCUGUUAGCACCUUAUGAGAAAUCAAGGUUUUUGGGUUCCGGGGGGAGUAUGGUCGCAAGGCUGAAACUUAAAGGAAUUGACGGAAGGGCACACCAGGAGUGGAGCCUGCGGCUUAAUUUGACUCAACACGGGGAAACUUACCAGGUCCAGACAAAGUAAGGAUUGACAGAUUGAGAGCUCUGUCUUGAUUCUUUGGGUGGUGGUGCAUGGCCGUUCUUAGUUGGUGGAGUGAUUUGUCUGGUUAAUUCCGAUAACGAACGAGACCCCAACCUGCUAACUAGACUGGUCUAUUUCACGAUAGAUCAGCGCUUCUUAGAGGGACAUUUCGGAUUUACCGGAAGGAAGUUUGUG
rnacentral:rRNA from 1 species